rnacentral:rRNA from 1 species
CAGUAGUCACGUAGUUGACUCCGUGGCUACAGAACGACGCUGGCGGCAUGCCUAACACAUGCAAGUCGAACGAAGCCUUCGGGCUUAGUGGCGCACGGGUGCGUAACGCGUGGGAACCUACCAUCAGGUUCGGAAUAACAGUUAGAAAUGACUGCUAAUACCGGAUAAUGUCUUCGGACCAAAGAUUUAUCGCCUUUUGAUGGGCCCGCGUAAGAUUAGGUAGUUGGUGGGGUAAAGGCCUACCAAGCCGACGAUCUUUAGCUGGUCUGAGAGGAUGAUCAGCCACACUGGGACUAAGACACGGGCCAGACUCCUACGGGAGGCAGCAGUAGGGAAUAUUGGACAAUGGGCGAAAGCCUGAUCCAGCAAUGCCGCGUGAGUGAUGAAGGCCUUAGGGUUGUAAAGCUCUUUUACCAGGGAUGAUAAUGACAGUACCUGGAGAAUAAGCUCCGGCUAACUCCGUG